AAAAUUUUCGUAUACAUGUAUAUAUUAUGUUAGGUUAAAAUUUUUUAAAAAUAAAUGUAAAUAAUUUUUA
rnacentral:tRNA from 1 species